rnacentral:rRNA from 1 species
CCUACGGGAGGCUGCAGUGGGGAAUAUUGGACAAUGGGCGAAAGCCUGAUCCAGCCAUGCCGCGUGUGUGAAGAAGGCCUUCGGGUUGUAAAGCACUUUCAGUGGGGAAGAAAGCCUUGGGGCUAAUACCCUCGAGGAAGGACAUCACCCACAGAAGAAGCACCGGCUAACUCCGUGCCAGCAGCCGCGGUAAUACGGAGGGUGCGAGCGUUAAUCGGAAUUACUGGGCGUAAAGCGCGCGUAGGCGGUCUGAUAAGCCGGUUGUGAAAGCCCCGGGUCAACCUGGGAACGGCAUCCGGAACUGUCAGGCUAGAGUGCAGGAGAGGAAGGUAGAAUUCCCGGUGUAGCGGUGAAAUGCGUAGAGAUCGGGAGGAAUACCAGUGGCGAAGGCGGCCUUCUGGACUGACACUGACGCUGAGGUGCGAAAGCGUGGGUAGCAAACAGGAUUAGAUACCCUGGUAGUC